CCUACGGGAGGCAGCAGUCGAGAAUCAUUCACAAUGGGGGAAACCCUGAUGGUGCGACGCCGCGUGGGGGAAUGAAGGUCUUCGGUUUGUAAACCCCUGUCAUGUGGACGCAAAUAAAAAAGAUAGUACCACAAGAGGAAGAGACGGCUAACUCUGUGCCAGCAGCGGCGGUAAUACAGAGGUCUCAAGCGUUGUUCGGAAUCACUGGGUGUAAAGGGGGCGUAGGCUGUUUCGUAAGUCGUGUGUGAAAGGCGCGGGCUCAACCCGCGGCCGGCAUAUGAUACUGCGCGACUAGAGUAAUGGAGGGGGAACCGGAAUUCUCGGUGUAGCAGUGAAAUGCGUAGAUAUCGAGAGGAACACUCGUGGCGAAGGCGGGUUCCUGGACAUUAACUGACGCUGAGGCACGAAGGCCAGGGGAGCGAAAGGGAUUAGAUACCCUUGUAGUC
rnacentral:rRNA from 1 species